rnacentral:rRNA from 1 species
UGUUUGGAGAGUUUGAUCCUGGCUCAGGACGAACGCUGGCGGCGUGCUUAACACAUGCAAGUCGAGCGGAAAGGCCCUUCGGGGUACUCGAGCGGCGAACGGGUGAGUAACACGUGAGUGACC